rnacentral:rRNA from 1 species
CCUACGGGCGGCUGCAGUGGGGAAUAUUGGACAAUGGGGGCAACCCUGAUCCAGCCAUGCCGCGUGUGUGAAGAAGGCCCUCGGGUUGUAAAGCACUUUCAGUGAGGAAGAACGCCUGGUGGUUAAUACCCAUCAGGAAAGACAUCACUCACAGAAGAAGCACCGGCUAACUCCGUGCCAGCAGCCGCGGUAAUACGGAGGGUGCGAGCGUUAAUCGGAAUUACUGGGCGUAAAGCGCGCGUAGGUGGCUUGAUAAGCCGGUUGUGAAAGCCCCGGGCUCAACCUGGGAACGGCAUCCGGAACUGUCAAGCUAGAGUGCAGGAGAGGAAGGUAGAAUUCCCGGUGUAGCGGUGAAAUGCGUAGAGAUCGGGGGGAAUACCAGUGGCGAAGGCGGCCUUCUGGACUGACACUGACACUGAGGUGCGAAAGCGUGGGUAGCAAACAGGAUUAGAUACCCGAGUAGUC